UUGAACGCUGGCGGCAUGCUUUACACCUGCAAGUCGCACGGCAGCGCGGGCUUCGGCCUGGCGGCGAGUGGCGAACGGGUGAGUAAUGCAUCGGAACGUGCCCAGUAGUGGGGGAUAGCCCGGCGAAAGCCGGAUUAAUACCGCAUACGACCUGAGGGUGAAAGCGGGGGACCGAAAGGCCUCGCGCUAUUGGAGCGGCCGAUGUCGGAUUAGCUAGUUGGUGGGGUAAAGGCUUACCAAGGCGACGAUCCGUAGCUGGUCUGAGAGGACGACCAGCCACACUGGGACUGAGACACGGCCCAGACUCCUACGGGAGGCAGCAGUGGGGAAUUUUGGACAAUGGGGGCAACCCUGAUCCAGCCAUGCCGCGUGCGGGAAGAAGGCCUUCGGGUUGUAAACCGCUUUUGUUCGGGAAGAAAUCCUCUGGGCUAAUACCCCGGGGGGAUGACGGUACCGGAAGAAUAAGCACCGGCUAACUACGUG
rnacentral:rRNA from 1 species